rnacentral:rRNA from 1 species
AUGCAAGUCGAACGGUAACAGGAAACAGACUGCUGUUUCGCUGACGAGUGGCGGACGGGUGAGUAAUGUCUGGGAAACUGCCUGAUGGAGGGGGAUAACCACUGGAAACGGUAGCUAAUACCGCAUAACGUCGCAAGACCAAAGAGGGGGACCUUCGGGCCUCUUGCCAUCGGAUGUGCCCAGAUGGGAUUAGCUAGUAGGUGGGGUAACGGCUCACCUAGGCGACGAUCCCUAGCUGGUCUGAGAGGAUGACCAGCCACACUGGAACUGAGACACGGUCCAGACUCCUACGGGAGGCAGCAGUGGGGAAUAUUGCACAAUGGGCGCAAGCCUGAUGCAGCCAUGCCGCGUGUAUGAAGAAGGCCUUCGGGUUGUAAAGUACUUUCAGCGGGGAGGAAGGGAGUAAAGUUAAUACCUUUGCUCAUUGACGUUACCCGCAGAAGAAGCACCGGCUAACUCCGUGCCAGCAGCCGCGGUAAUACGGAGGGUGCAAGCGUUAAUCGGAAUUACUGGGCGUAAAGCGCACGCAGGCGGUUUGUUAAGUCAGAUGUGAAAUCCCCGGGCUCAACCUGGGAACUGCAUCUGAUACUGGCAAGCUUGAGUCUCGUA